rnacentral:tRNA from 1 species
GGCUGUGUGUUCUAGUGGUAUGAUUUCUCCUUCACACGGAGAAGGUCGUCGGUUCGAACCCGGCCACGGUCA